rnacentral:tRNA from 1 species
GGUUGUGGCUCAGCGGUAGAGCAUUCGCCUGGGACGUGCGAGGCCCUAGGUUUGAUCCACAGCACCA